rfam:Nicotiana attenuata strain TT scaffold05518, whole genome shotgun sequence.
UCCUCAGUAGCUCAGUGGUAGAGCGGUCGGCUGUUAGCUGAUUGGUUGUAGGUUCGAAUCCUGCUUGGGGAG